GACGAACGCUGGCGGCGUGCUUAACACAUGCAAGUCGAGCGAAUGGAUUAAGAGCUUGCUCUUAUGAAGUUAGCGGCGGACGGGUGAGUAACACGUGGGUAACCUGCCCAUAAGACUGGGAUAACUCCGGGAAACCGGGGCUAAUACCGGAUAACAUUUUGAACCGCAUGGUUCGAAAUUGAAAGGCGGCUUCGGCUGUCACUUAUGGAUGGACCCGCGUCGCAUUAGCUAGUUGGUGAGGUAACGGCUCACCAAGGCAACGAUGCGUAGCCGACCUGAGAGGGGGAUCGGCCACACUGGGACUGGGACACGGCCCAGACUCCUACGGGAGGCAGUAGUAGGGAAUCUUCCGCAAUGGACGAAAGUCUGACGGAGCAACGCCGCGUGAGUGAUGAAGGCUUUCGGGUUGUAAAACUCUGUUGUUAGGGAAGAACAAGUGCUAGUUGAAUAAGCUGGCACCUUGACGGUACCUAACCAGAAAGCCACGGCUAACUACGUGCCAGCCGCCGCCGUAA
rnacentral:rRNA from 1 species